GUAGGUGGCAAGCGUUGUCCGGAAUUAUUGGGCGUAAAGCGCGCGCAGGCGGUUCUUUAAGUCUGAUGUGAAAGCCCACGGCUCAACCGUGGAGGGUCAUUGGAAACUGGAGAACUUGAGUACAGAAGAGGAAAGCGGAAUUCCACGUGUAGCGGUGAAAUGCGUAGAGAUGUGGAGGAACACCAGUGGCGAAGGCGGCUUUUCUGGUCUGUAACUGACGCCGAGGCGCGAAAGCGUGGGGAGCAAACAGGGAUUAGAUACCCUGGUAGUCCACGCCGUAAACGAUGAGUGCUAAGUGCUAGGGGGGUUUCCGCCCCCUUAGUGCUGCAGCUAACGCAUUAAGCACUCCGCCUGGGGAUACGGCCGCAAGGCUG
rnacentral:rRNA from 1 species